UUGUCAUUCAAUUUUGCAAUCCACUCUUUAGAAAUUAAUCUAAAAAAUGUCACUUCGACUUUAAAAACUGUAUUUAUUCCAAAACUCAGUAUUUAAAACUUUAGCUCCCAUUUAAAACUUUAACUUUCCAAUAGAUAAUGCUUAUAAGAUUCUUAUCUAACGUAGAAUAAAGAAAUGAACUAGUCACAAGUUAAAAUUGCAAACAUUUUUCAAAGCAAAACAAAAAAAUAAUUAAGGGUUUCCAACUUUUUAUAACCACUCACACUUUUCCUUUGUCGUAACACAACAUGCCUUUGUACACUGUAUUUGUACAUUUAUUUUUUGGUGGGUAAAGAAUGUGGAUUCAGAGCUUUGGUCUUAAUUCCUAAAUUCUGUUCAUAUCCAUUUGAUCACAUAUAACAAUUUUGACUGCCAAUUAUUUAAUACAUAAACACAAAGAUUAGCCAUCUUUUUCCUAGACUGGACAUGUAAACAGAAAUUCACCACAGUUGUCUGUUAAGAGUUAUUUAUUAAUUGCUCCACAAUAGUUCUAAAGUUCAUAACAAACCAAAGUACUGAAAUAAGUCUGAACUGAAAGAACAACAAAAUCAGAACAGUUUUCCAACUAAAGAUCCUCUUUACCCUUUUAACAGUUAAUAUUGGAGUAAAUUUUAUAUUCCCUAUUUUCCAAAUGUGACUGAGUACGGAAUGUGUAUGCUAUUUUCCUUCAAAAUCUAUUCCUUUUCUUCUCCAUUCUAAGAUAUCCCUUAAUUCCCUUUACAUUCAACCCCUGCCCAUUAUUCUUCUAUUCUCUAUAAACACGGGAAAUACAUUUUCCCCUCUGGAGUACAAGCUCCAAAUCAUUACAUUUUUCUCCAGCUAUCUAUCUACACUUCCAAAGAUACUAAUUUCAACAUAUAACUUGCUUUACAAGGCUUAUCAUGCACAGUACAUUUCAACCUAGCUAGUCACACACACAGGCUAUAAUGAAGUAUAGUCUGUUAUUAAGAACUCAAUAUUAUUCCUCCUAGGUAAAAAGAUGUAGGUUGGUUGUAGGUUUUUUCACUUUUGCCAAAAGCUACUCUGUGCAACUGAAGAACCACAGUAGUUGACUGUAAUUGUUAUAAACACAACUCUGUUAACAGAAAAUACUGAACUACUGUCAAGUCUACUACCUAUACGGUAGUUAUUAUCAGAUGAGAAGUGCAAAGAAUUAUAAAAUCUAUUCAACUAAUUACUUGACCAGCUUAUCAUAAACCUCUAUGGCUUUUUGUAAACUGCCUUCCAUAAAUGCUAAGUAGUUAAACUGCAGAUAAAUCAAUUCAGAAGCACCCCUAAUAUUUGAUGAUUUUCUUAGGUUUUAACUUCCUACUUAUCUAUACAAUAAAAUUUCAAUAUUUAGGAUGUCUUCUAAAUUCUUAACCUAGGGUCCAUAACUAAGAAUUUAUUUGAAAGUUGGAGGAGGUCUUGUGAGCAUGUAGACUGGCUUGCACAUUUUCAUUUGUUGAUAUAUCUCUGCUAACGUACAGGGGGCGGGGGGCCAUCAAUUUAUAUCGGGUGCCCAGAGUCUGUGACCCAAAAAAAAUGUUACGCUGGACUUGUAUAAGUAAGCCAAAGAUUCAUAAAGAAUUUAAAUAUAGUCUAUUUAAAUUAGUCACACUCAAAUACAGUCAAGCAUAAGAUAACAGAAUUCUAAGAUGCUGUGUUCAUCCUAAUGUUCAUUUUAAAUGUUACCAAGGAUAUAAAAAAAUAACGAGAAUACAAUAUUUUCCCUCACUAUCAGUAACUGUUUAUCAUUUCAUGGAGGGUACAAGCAGAUUGGUAAACCACCACAGAUCCCUCUUCUUAAAUACCAGGAGGGAUCCCAUAACAAAAUAUUCAUGGAACAUUACCAUCAUAACCUCACGCAACAUGAUGCAUGGAUCCUAUCAUAGCACUAACAAAGGAGUCUUGCAUCACAUUUUAAAAAUGAAAUCCUAUCAGUAUGUAUCAUAGAAAACACAAAGACCAUAAAACUCAGAAAAUGAUAGUCUUCAGGUAUGUUUUACCCUAAAAGUAGAAGUUCAGAAACUAUUUUUGGUGAGGGAAGUUCUUCUGCUUAACAAGAGCCUAUGAAUUUGGAAGGUAAAAAUUCCAUGUGACCUCAUGAAGCCAUAUUGCUCAAACUGUCACCCAGUUCAGGCUUAAAUGCUACUAAUGGCAAGUAAUUACAAAAUGCCAGAUGACAGGAAUGAAUACAAACUUUUGCCUCUCUCAUCUGAUGAGCAUAAUACGGAAAACUAAAGUAGAAAUAUUUGUAUCAGUUUGCAACUUUUUAAAAACAUGCUAAAAAUUAUAGAUGUUUUUCCACUGUUCCCAUUUUUAAAUUACCUCAAAAAUACUGACCAGCAAUUGCUAAAUUAUGGUAGUCCUUAUUCUGAAUUUCCAGUAGCACAACAGAAAUCCAAAAGCAUUGUUUCCUACUUCAUACCUUAACUUCUUAAAAGUAAAAAAAAACCUUAAUUUUAAAAUGAUCAUAUUCAGAGACAGACAUUCCACAGAAGAAAUAAAGGCAGGUGGAUGGGUUAAAAAAAAAAAUCAAUCUGUUAGGGCUAAUCUAGAAUAGAGAAUAAGUCACCUGUGCAAAGAAAUCAAAAAUUGGAUUUCAAUAUAGAAUCAGAGAUUCUGCUUAGCACUCUUGUUCAAGAAAAAGACCAAAUCUAGGAAAUACACUUGGGCAAAACAAACAAAAACUGACAUUUCCUAAUCACAGACUCGCCAGUACAGAUAAUCUCUACAGAGAAAUCCAUGCUUAUACUUAAUAUCUUUAUGAUUUCCUGUAAUACUAUCAUAUACUAAAAAGAAAACAAAGCCUCAAAGACCUAUUCUACCCUUUAAUAUAUUUAUUCCCAAUUCCUCAACACUGUAGCCACUAAAUUUCAAAACACAAAUGUCUUAUGAUCUACUUUUUCCCUUCAUACUUAUAAGUUUACUAAUAUAUUACAUAUUUACUAAUUUUCAGUUUCUGCAUCUCCAUUAUUUAUAGGUUUAGCUCUUUCCUUCUAAUACUUAUACUCUCAACAUUUUAAAACAUUGCUGAUUUAAUAAUACCUUCAUCCUAACUAAAAUGCUCAAGACUGUUGUAAUCUAAAUCAUACUGUCACUUUAUUACAACUUUUUAAGUAAAAAGUUUUUUUUCCCAAAACUGGUGCCACAGGAUAUUACAACAUUUUUGAGGCAAAAAAGGAUGCACCUAAAACCAGAAGAUAUUGGAAUCUGAUUUAAAAUAAAGCCUCAAUAAAUAAUUUCUCUGGAGUAAUAUUAGGAUGGCUAACCCAAUUUCAAGAAAACAUUG
rnacentral:lncRNA from 1 species